ACAGUGCAGAUCCAGUAAAUACGGUGGAAGAGGACACGCCAUGGCGAGAGUAAAGACACCAAAGACGUUCAAAGUUAAGGGCAGCCAAGGGGUCCGGAGCCCAACCCCAGGGAGGAUGUGCAGACAGAGGUCCUGAUCCUAGGCCCCUCCCAGAAUUUAUUAUUGUGUGAAGAAGGGAGUGGCUUGAAGAUGAGUGACAGUGAGGAUGGCGGGAAUGAUGUGAGAAACGUGAGCUGGCUGGCCAGGUAGGGAGAAAAGCAUCUUUGCAAAAUGCAGAGAUAACGAUAUGCAGAAAGGUCAAUUUGUAUAAUUCAAUUAAGGUAGUAACUAAAUUGUUUUUGGAGGCUGUUGCUUCAGUUUCUGAUAUGCAAAUUUUCAUGCCCUAGGGACUCAUAGCUUCUUUAUCUUGAGGCCCAUGCGCAGUUGACAUUCCUGAAGCUGACUGGCUCUACUAUCCUGCUGUGCUCAUAUAUUUUACAGACAGCCCUAUGCUAGGAAACAGACUAGCUGAUGGCUUUAAAGAUUACCUACAAGUACCUCGCUAGCCUUAUUUGCAAGGCUUAGAGGGACUGCAGGAGCUGCAGAUGGAAGCAACCUGCUUCGGACCGAAAAGCAACUGCCUGUUGCAAGCAGUUAAUCAAGAGUCCAGGCGACUUGGCUGGUGCUUGGCAUAAGACUGCCUGGCACAGACUACGUGCUCAAGAAGGGCUUGCUAACAAAACUGAUGUGAUGGCUUUGUGCCUAUGUCACAGUGAACUGCUUGUUUCCUGAAAGAAUCUAUGUGGAGCUGAAGAACUUUGCUAUGGAGGUCUUCCUUGACUCUGGACCAACACAGCACUCUCUGGAGUCUAGACUUAGAGGGUAAAGUCUCAGUGGAAAAGUCUUUGGUUCCCAGAAGAGGAAAGAUUCUGCCUGCAGACUCCAUUGAGAUCCAUGACUGCAGCCUCAACUCUCACCUUGGGUUCUGGACUUCAGACUUGCACAAUCCCAUAGGUUCAGCCAGGCUGAUGGAGUGAGAGGUUUAAUAUGAUUCCUUGAGGAAAAAAAGAGACGCUCAAACCAAGGGUUUGAGCAGAGAAAGGGAGACACAAAGCAAGUUCCAUUUUAAGACGAUAAAGCGUCAAUUGGACAUUUGCAGAAACCAGUGACACCUGAAGGUGGCCGUGCAACUGGGGGACAAAGCAAAACACUGGGUGAAGGUGUUCUGCAGACAGCCUUGUGAGCACUGCUGAAUGUACCUUUUAAAAAGCAUGAAGUGGCUACAGGAAAGAAAUAACUUGCCAAAAGGGUCAAAUGCACUUUUGUGAGAAUUACAGUAACUCACACUUAAGGACACAAAACCGGAGAUCUUGAAUGAAGGAGGCAGGAAAGAGCAUCAGUGCAAUGGAACAGCUCUCAGGUAAAGGUGAGAUUCAGGGCUGAAUUUAAGGAAGGGCCCACUUCCCAGGACAAGGUAGACCAGCCUCACGAGAAACUUGCCCAGGAGGGUUACCUUGCAAGCAUAAGACAUGUUCCUUCGCAUGAGUAACACAGUCACUCCCAGGGAAAAGGAGGAGGAGAAAACAAGCCUGCCAAUAAUUCCAGAGAUGCUUUCUCAAGAGAGAGGCAUAAGGGUUCCUCUGGCAAAGUGCUUUCCCAAUAACCCUCCAAGCCAUGCUUUGUAGUUAAGUGUGAUUUUUUGUUUUCUCUUCUGUUUGUAUGAUUUUGCCUCAGUAACAUGGUUUAGGGGAAUAUUGUCUCAAAAAUAAAUAAGGUGAGCCAGUCACCUUAGAAAUUAUACCAUCCCCAUGAUCCAAUCACCUUCCAAACAUAAGACUUUUAAAUCUAAACCAGAGGUAUAGUAAAUUUUCAAUCAGAGAACUAGGGAAAAUACGACACUCUAUCAAGUAGUACACAGUCAGACAAUUUAGAGGACCUAGAGCUCACCAGGAUGAGGGAUGGCUGACAAGCUGAAGUUAGAGGAGCCCUCAGGUAUAACAGGACUUGGGACAGUGGUUUUCAAAGUGGCAUCCCUGAGACUCUUUCAGAAGUCUGCAAGAUCAAACUAUUUUCAUAACAAUAUUAAGGUUUUCACUAUCUUUUUCACUGUGUUUAUAUUUCCACUGAAAACAGUAAAAUUGCUAUUAGCUUAGCAUGCAGGAAUCAUGAUAGAGGCACCAAUUUGUCACCACACACUCAAAGCAAGACAAACGCCAGUUUCAUUUAUGAAUGUUCCAAUCAGCAAAAGUCAAUUUUCUUCAAUCAGUCUUCAAGUAUGUGUCCACUUAAUAGCCUACAUAGCCAAGUGAGAAUACUUCUAGACCAUUUGUGCUGAAUAUUGAUGUUGGUUUUCUUCAGAAAACUCUUAUAAUAUCUAUUUUUUGAAGUUUGAAUUUUGAUUUAAAUUAGUCACUUUUUUCAUAGAACACUAUUUUUACUUUAGAGAAUGAAGACAACCUUAGAUACUUCACAGGCAGUUUCUCAAAAUUGAAAAAAGUGAGCUAGUCACCUUAAGUAAAACUAAUGACAAUAUCUGUUGCCAAAUAUAAAAUCUGAACCCAAGAGAAAACUGGAAUACAGAAAACUAAUGUCUGGACAGUGAGCUUGCAGAUUUCUUACAAAGACUUUUCUAUGAGAGUGGUGGUACUGGUGAUGAAUGUGACUCUUUCAUACUGUAUGCUAAAAUAUGUCAAAACAUUUGAGAGAUCUAUAUAACUUGGUAAACCAGUGUUUCCCAACUGUUAAAAAAUCAUAUAUGUGUGUGAAGGUAUGGACAACUAUUUCAAAGAAAACAAGAGACAUUAUGGCAGCCACUACUGAUUUCCUUUUGUCUUAUGAAGUCCUGUGUUGCUUGCAUUGUUUUGUUCUGAUUUGUUUUGCUCUGUUUUGUUUUAUUCUCUUUAAAAAAAAUUAAAGAAAUCAUAUAUGGGUAAAAUUUAAAAUACAAAAUGCAUGAGUGAGUUUCAUACAACAGUUUGAAAACUCCAUCUAUAAGGUUGCAGACUCUACAGUGUAGCUAACUUUUAAGAAAUUGGCACAUGUUAAACUUGAGCAUAAUACUAAACAGUAUGUACAAUUAUAAUAAAGGAUUUAAAAUAUUCUCACAGAGGCUGGCUUUUCGUAAGUCCCAAAUAAAUGAGACAUUACACAGAUUGUAAUUCUCAUAUCAGUAGCUAUGAGAAUCUAACUUAUUUUAUUGUUAGAUAUUAAAGAGAUUUGUACACUGUAAAUGACAUCACUCCUCACUGAAGUUUUGCUUUUCAAGAUAAGGUAUGGUAUUUACAUUAAUGUUUCAUACAUUGUUAUUAGUUUUAAAUGAAUAAAUAAAUGAGGAUUUGUCUGUGUAAAUUUCUGACGUUGUAAUUUCUAUAGUCUCCUCUAAUAUGCAGUUUUGUUUUUUGCAGAUAAGUCAUGAUAUAGUCAUAUUAAGUAAGAAAUUCCAGCAUAGAAUUUAGAGAAAGGUGUUUCAUAACAUGUUGCAGAGAGAGAGAGAGAGAGAGAGAGAGAGAGAGAGAGAGAGAGAGAGAGAGAGAAAGAGAGAAAGCUCUGUACCUGGGAGUUAUAAGUUAAGAAAACUCAAAAUUUUUGUCCUUUUAAGUGCUGAAAUAACUGAAGACUAAAUUGGGUCUCGCGAAUAAGUAAUUUGUCAAAGUUGGCAUUCAUUGGUAAGCAGUUUGACUGAGCAUUUGUUUAAAUUUUUAGUCUAUAUAGAAUCAAACUUACAAUGAAUUAUCUUCAAAGCAUUUUUGUAAACCCAUGAUUCUGACGUUUGACUAGUGAAAACAAAGUGUGCUUUCAAUACUUAAAUUUUUGCGUUUUUUAUGUAUUCUUAACUAUGAUGAUUUAUCAUGGAUAGUGUAAUUUGGGAUUUUCCUGCUGAAAUGCCAGAGAUGGGAAAUAAUUUUUGUCCUUUAAGUCAAGUUUAUGUGAUAAUCAACUUAAACUUUAUUAUAGGUAUGAGAUGGGAUAGGAAAAGUGUAUUUCCUAAUGAACUAUCACAGUGAAGUCUCAUUGCCAUUUCCCCUCUCUCCAAACAUUCCCUCUUGCUUCAAACACACUUAAUCCGUCAUUCUGUGUACUUUGCGAAGCAGAUCUGGAGGUCCUCUUUCAUGAAUAUCCUUAGCUGCGCUGUUGUGUUGCCUUGAAGUCCUGAAUUCGACCUUGGGGAGAGCCAGACUCGGCUAACCUGGUAAACGAAGUGGGUGAGGACACGCUAAUAUUUUUAUGAGCUUUCCUUUCCACUGGAUGCCACAGUAGGCACUUCACUGUAUUAUCACAUCCUAUCACGUUACUUAGAGAGGACAUCCAGAACUGCUCAGAAAAUGAGAGGAAGGAUGGGAUAAGCGUAUUCAAAGUUAGGUAGAGUCUUGAGAGGGGUUAAUAGCCAU